UACAGAGGUCUCAAGCGUUGUUCGGAUUCAUUGGGCGUAAAGGGUGUGUAGGUGGCGCGCUAAGUCGGGUGUGAAAUUUCGGAGCUUAACUCCGAAACUGCAUUCGAUACUGGCGUGCUUGAGGACUGGAGAGGAGACUGGAAUUUACGGUGUAGCAGUGAAAUGCGUAGAUAUCGUCAGGAACGCGGAUGGUGAAGACAGGUGACUGGGCUAGUUCUGACACUGAGGCACGAAAGCGUGGGAGCGAACGGG
rnacentral:rRNA from 1 species